rnacentral:sRNA from 1 species
GUUGAAGCCCCGGGCCUAGGACUCGACCCCCAGCAUCCCACGGGGCCUCUUUCCUUUCCCGGCUCAUUCCGCUGUCAUUUUGACCUGGGGUUCCCCUCCAGCCCCUCGCCUCGUUCCCUUCCCAGCAUCCCAGGGCCGAGGUAUUAAUCUCUGGAGAAGACACAUCCACAGUUAGCACUUUCUUCAGAUGCUGACGCUCAGUGAACAGUUGCCUUUGGUCACAAGAUUUAGAAGACACAGUGUCCAUCCUCCCAGAUUGGAUCUCUUUUUCAUAUGGAUCUUCUGUUUCUAUGUCUUUUUAAAAAAUAACUUUUUGGGAAACCUUUUGGAUUACAACUGUUCAUCCUCACCUAUGCAAAGAAAGGGAAGCUAUUGCUGGGAUUUUGAGGAGGCAGUCCGUUGCCACUGGGCAGUAUAGAUAUGUUGUCCAGCCUGCCAUCACUGGACUGUAGUUAAGGUGGAUGUCUUGUCCAGUCUGCUGCCACUGGGCUGUAUGUAAGGAGGUUCUUCUGUCCACCCCACCGCUACUGGACUCUCUUCCCUGUAGGU